UAACAGGUGUAUGAGCUUUUCCUCCUGAGGUAAUCAACCCAAGUUCCUAAAAGGCCAGAGAAGCCAGUCUGAACUUGGGUCUUCAUCAUGCAACUGAGUCCCUGUGAUACUGGAAUCCACCCACACAGGCCUAGAUGAAGGACUGAGAAAGAGUAGGAGGGGAAGAGAUACUGAGAGCCCUGGAUAGCAACUGGAAGAAGCAUGCUUAAGUGCUCAUAUUUUCUUGAGAUCUAUGAGUACGAGAAGGAAGUGAUUGUAAGUCUCUGAUCUUUUCUCGUGUUGGAAAAUCUGAGAGCUUUACCUAGGACAUUUAAUUUCAGGUAAAAGAAUUUGUGAAAUAACUUCUGAAGUUUAUGGCAUUGCAAUACACAGGAAAAAAUAGUUCGUGUCACCUUAUACUUGAAUAAAAAAAACAAUGCACAGAUCCCUUUUCACAGCCGAUGGUACAAAGAGCUGUAAAUAAACACUAAGUCAGAGCCUCUGUGUGGGAAAGCCCCCAUCCUCUUUAUUGGUUUCUGUGAGGAUGUGUGCAGGUAGCACAGAUUCUAAUUCUGCUCAAGCUGCACUAUAGAAGAAAUGGUGUUAUUCCUGGCAGUUCAUAUUCGUCAUGAGUUUAUCAGUGCUUUGAGUGUAUGCAUGCAUGUACAUGUCCUCUUAUAUGGGCAUUUAUGUGUCACUUGCAGGAUUUUCUGAAGUUAGCUGACCAGGAAAGAUUAGGCAAUAGGAGGAAGGAAAUUAUUGUAAGAAUUUAAAAAUUAUAUUAUCAAGUAUCAUCUGCUUGCUAAUGAAGCUUCAAAGCUAUUUCCAGGGAAGAAUUCUGCAAUUGCUCCAGAGGAAGAGUCCAACAGUCUAUCUAAAUACCUCAUUCCAUCAUUAAUGAGUGCUUAACCCCAGCAUAUUUGAACUUGGACUACAUGACCAGUAGUCAAUUUUCACUAAUAAUUUUUUUUUGAUCCUGAAAAUCUGUACCCAUGUCAUCAUCUCCUUCUUAAUUAUACCAUAUUCUUUACAUCUGUCCUGCUAAAUAACUCUAAUUGAAAUAGCACCGGCGUGAAUUUUCGUAAUGUUCCCCUCAAGACAUCCCGAAAGUGACUCACACGAGAAAACAGACUGAAGUCACAGCUGGAAGCAUGUCAAGGAUCAUUUCCAUUUUUACAUGAUUAAUUUGAAUUUAAUAUCUUAAAUCAAAACCUGAUUAAUUUAAAUAAAAUUUUGAUGGUGCCCUGCUUCUAAUAUACAUUGCAGUAAUUAGA